rnacentral:lncRNA from 1 species
UACUGAUGUGUAAAGGCUCAUUCACACCUGCAACUAGCACCAGUCACGCAACAAUUUGCAAAUGGCGACCAAAAACGACUCUAGGCUGCUGGAAAAAUUGCUUUCACUUGUGGAUCUGAUGAUGGUCCUCAUUUCUGUGGCUGGCGUAUGAAGACUUGCAGAUAUUGAACAGCUGAUGGUGCGACAAGAAUCCCAGUAUCUUCCUUGCUGUACAUUUUGAAACAAUUCUUG